rnacentral:rRNA from 1 species
UACAUGGGGUGCAAACGUUGCUCGGAAUUAUUGGGCGUAAAGCGCGCGUAGGCGGUUACUUAAGUCGGAUGUGAAAGCCCUCGGCUUAACUGAGGAAGUGCACCCGAAACUGAGUAGCUAGAGUACGAAAGAGGGUCGCGGAAUUCCCGGUGUAGAGGUGAAAUUCGUAGAUAUCAGGAGGAACACCGGUGGCGAAGGCGGGUCUCUGGGCAACAACUGACGCUGAGGAGCGAAAGCGUGGGGAGCGAACAGG